UACAGAGGGUGCAAGCGUUAAUCGGAAUUACUGGGCGUAAAGCGCAUGUAGGUGGUUUGGUAAGUUUGAUGUGAAAGCCCUGGGCUUAACCUGGGAAUGGCGUUGAAAACUGCUGAACUAGAGUGGGAUAGAGGGCAGUAGAAUUUCCGGUGUAGCGGUGAAAUGCGUAGAGAUCGGAAAGAAUACCGGUGGCGAAGGCGGCUGCCUGGGUCCUAACUGACACUGAGGUGCGAAAGCGUGGGGAGCAAAC
rnacentral:rRNA from 1 species